UGCUCCGCUCGUAAACAAAGCUUUUCACUGUAUUUCAGUACACGUGACAACAAAAACAAAAUCAACUGAUCAUCAACAGUUCUCUAGGUAGAAUAUUCCAAAAAGUAACAAUGCUUUCAGUGAUGAAACUUAUCUUUAUCUCAGUCUCAAGUGGUUAUGACUCUAUAUUUUGACAUUUUUGUGAAACAGUUGAGUACCAAGGAAAAUGACUGUGAUCUUUCUCUUGUGGAAUCCUAAGGGUGUGGAAAAAAUACCCUAUAUAAAAGAAAGGCCUUCUCUUGCUUUCUCUUGCUUUCUCUGCACCAGAACUGAGCUGGUGUAGGGGAAUGACAGUACAGGAUCAUUCAGUGUCUCUAUUAUAUGUGAGUUGAUAAUAACCAUUUGCAGCAAUUUCCACAGUGGGCUGUGAUUACCAUAAUUAAGUCAAUUUACACAUUCCUGCUUCAAAACGCUGGGAAAUAUUUAAAUGGUGUUUAUAGCACAGCAGUAAAAGCAAAAUUGAAACAAAAGCAAAAUUCUAUGGAUCAUGGAAAACUGAAAUCAAAACAGGCGAGAGAGACUCAGCAUCUGUGGAGAGAGAAACUGAAAAAUUGAAAGCUUCCAGUUGACAAGAAAUGGGGAAAAGCAAUUCUGACAAAAAUCCAUAGUCCUGAAGUGGUGACCCUCUUUCUGUCUCCACCGAUGUUAUCAGACCUGCAGAGUAUUGCUAGCAUUUUCUGUUUUUAUUUAGAGCAAGACUGAAUGUUGCCUUUUCACCAACCUGGCUAUUAAUCUCAGAGAAGAACUGCAAUAAUAUGGACUGCUCUGACAGGUUCUGUGGUCAGGAGCAGAUUUUCUGAGUAUGAAUUACUGCUGGGGAGCCUCAACCUGUUACUCAUACAGCUUAACAAAUCUAAAGAACUGCCCAUGAGAAGCCUGGAAUACCCAAAAGGGAGGCAAGGCACCACAUAUGUAAAGUGUAUAGGAGACCAUAUUGUGGGCAGCGAAUACAGUAGACUGGAUUGAGUGAAGUGUGGGUAAGUGCAUGUGUAAAGGUUGUUUUUGUUUUGUAUUUUUAAUUGUGGACUGAAAUGUGAAAAAGAU